GGUCAAGUUGUGUAGGGCACACGGUGGAUGCCUUGGCAUCAGGAGCCGAUGAAGGACGUGGGAGGCUGCGAUAAGCCUCGGGGAGUCGCCAGCCAGACGUUGAUCCGGGGAUGUCCGAAUGGGGGAACCCGGCGGGUGUUGUGGCCCGUCAUCUCCGCUUGAAUUCAUAGGGCGGGGAAGGGAACGCGGGGAAGUGAAACAUCUCAGUACCCGCAGGAAGAGAAAACAAUAGUGAUUCCGUGAGUAGUGGUGAGCGAAAGCGGAUGAGGCUAAACCGUGCGCGUGUGAUAGCCGGCGGGUGUUGCGUGUGCGGGGUUGUGGGACCCUCUUGGGAGUGCCGCCGCGCUUCCGAGCAGUGAGAAAUCGGUGGGGUAGCCGAAGGUUCUGGGAAGGGCUGCCGUAGACCGUGAUAGCCGGGUAGGUGAAACUCUGCCGACUGCUGGAGG
rnacentral:rRNA from 1 species